GAUGACUCUCGGCAACGGAUAUCUAGGCUCCCGCAUCGAUGAAGAACGUAGCGAAAUGCGAUACUUGGUGUGAAUUGCAGAAUCCCGUGAACCAUCGAGUCUUUGAACGCAAGUUGCGCCCGAGACCCCCAUCGGGUCGAGGGCACGCCUGCCUGGGCGUCACGC
rnacentral:rRNA from 1 species